UCUAUUGAAAUCAGGAAGUCUUUUGAGUUCACUUACUGGAAGGUCUUUCUUUAGAUGAGACAUCUGUGAGCACUCCUCUUCUUAGGAUGUCAGCUCAUUUCAACGGGAGAGUUAGUUUAGUUAGAUUUAUUCAUCUUUUUGGCUUUUAGAAACUAAGGCUAGCCUUGAACUUGUGAUCGAUCAUCCUGCCUCACAAAUGCAGGAAUUACAGGCAUGUACUACCAUACCAAGCAACACUUUUGGAUUUAAUAAGAUUCAAAUGCUAGGUGUAGAGAAUAAUUUUUCCUCAAGUUCAACGCAUCUCAAAGAAGAUAUGGAUAGACUGUUUGAUGAGAUCGUGCUGCAGGUGUAUCCCAGCAAUCUA
rnacentral:lncRNA from 1 species